rnacentral:rRNA from 1 species
GCGUGAGUGAUGAAGGCCUUAGGGUUGUAAAGCUCUUUUACCCGGGAUGAUAAUGACAGUACCGGGAGAAUAAGCCCCGGCUAACUCCGUGCCAGCAGCCGCGGUAAUACGGAGGGGGCUAGCGUUGUUCGGAAAUACUGGGCGUAAAGCGCACGUAGGCGGCCUGGCAAGUCAGGGGUGAAAUCCCGGAGCUCAACUCCGGAACUGCCCUUGAAACUGCCAAGCUAGAAUCUUGGAGAGGUCAGUGGAAUUCCGAGUGUAGAGGUGAAAUUCGU